UACGUAGGGGCCUAGCGUUGUCCGGAUUUAUUGGGCGUAAAGAGCUCGUAGGCGGUUCGGUAAGUCAGGUGUGAAAUCUCCACGCUCAACGUGGAGGCGCCACCUGAAACUGCCGUGACUCGAGUCCGGUAGGGGAGUGUGGAAUUCCCGGUGUGAGCGGUGAAAUGCGCAGAUAUCAGGAAGAACACCCGUGGCGAAAGCGGCUCUCUGGAACGGUACUGACGCUGAGACGCGAAAGCGUGGGGAGCAAACAGG
rnacentral:rRNA from 1 species